rnacentral:rRNA from 1 species
GACGAACGCUGGCGGCGUGCUUAACACAUGCAAGUCGAACGGAAUGGCCCUGCUUGCAGGGUACUCCAGUGGCGAACGGGUGAGUAACACGUGGGUGAUCUGCCCUGCACUUCGGGAUAAGCCUGGGAAACUGGGUCUAAUACCGGAUAGGACCGCACUUGAGUGUGUGUGGUGGAAAGUUUUUUCGGUGUAGGAUGAGCUCGCGGCCUAUCAGCUUGUUGGUGGGGUAAUGGCCUACCAAGGCGGCGACGGGUAGCUGGCCUGAGAGGGUGUACGGCCACCCUGAGACUUAGGGGAGGCCCAAGCUGCGAAUGGUGGACACAGGGGGGAAUCUUGAACAAUGGGCGCCGGCCUGGUGCAGAAAGGCCGCGUGGGGGAUGAAGGCCUUCGGGUUGUAGAAUCGUUUCGCUAGGGACGAAGGUUUUUGUGACGGUACCUAGAUAAGAAGCACCGGCUAACUACGUG